AUGGUUUGGAACCAUUUGCACAAGUGCAAAUUCCUUAUUAUGCACAAAACCCCUCCUCGCUCAUGCCUUUCUCUUUGUCACAAACAAGAUUUACACCUGCUUACCCUGAUCAGCCUUCAGUAGCAGCAGCACAACAGGCCAAACUUCAGUUGUCCCCCCAUCUCACGAGCCCAUAUUGUGCGCCUCAUGCAAGUUCCAAGGCCUUGACAAAGCAGCCGCAGCAGCAGCUUUGGGCUGCCCAAUUGGCAGCUCAGUACAGGAAUACUGGAACUUCAACAGCCUUGACUCGAUUUCCAAGCUGGCAAAAAAAUGGAAGGGAAGACUCUCCUGGUCUGAUGCCCUGCAUCCCGCCUUCAACUUCAACACUAGAGGUACUAGGCCCCAAGUAUCCUCAGACCUCUC
rnacentral:misc_RNA from 1 species